CACUAAGGCGCAAGGCAGCUGCACAUCCACGGCCAGCCUCGUUGUCUUCAGGGAUUUGUUCAAAGGUCAUUCUGAAUUGUAAGGUAACCACUGCCUUUCCUGGGUAUGUGUGGUUAUUUCUGCCCUUCACUGUCCCACUCAAGUCCUGCCUCCCUCAGGGAGACCUCCCAGACCUCACCAAGCCGUGGGCACGUGGACCAGAAGCCGUGGACCCCAGAGGCUCAUUUAGGGAUCUGCUUUCUGAACCCAGGUCCUAACAUCUGCACUGCAGCGAGCAUUUCUGGUGCCUCAAGUGAGUCACUCCAACUUCCAGCUCACUGAGAGGCGAUGGAGCACUGAGUGCCAGCAUCUUCCAGCACCAGAGGAGCUGACUGAAUAGACAGCUCGGCAGCGGCCUCAGCACAGAGCAGGGGAGCCACCAGCCACAGGCAGCCACUGAGCCCUUGGCAUGUAACCCGGUAACCCACGCAACAGAAGACCUGAGCGUCCAGUGUUGCUAGCUUGAAGUAACUUCAGUGGUGUUCCCCAACGUUUUUCUCAUCCCCCUCCCUUCCCUUCCCCUACAGCUUUCUUCCUCUUUCCCCUCCUUCUGAGUCUUUCGUCCCCAGUCCUGGGAACCCUUUUUCUGACUUGGUGUUUUCUCCUGAAUGCCUCCUUCCUGGCCCCCUAAUGAGAAAUGAAGAAGCCACCUGCCCCACACAGGGGGCCACUUUCCCUGCAUCUGGCACUCACCAGGACAGUCAUAGAACUGGCCUUGGGUGCUUGGGGAGAGUGGAGAGGUCUGGGGGGCAUCCACUGGCCUCAGCCUCGGAGCUUCUCAUCAGUAACCCAGGAGGCAAAGGCCCAGCUCGAGGUUAGCCCAGGCCACUGUAUCUGUGCCAAGACCUACAGCUGUCCCUGCAGGGCGUGCAUCUCUGCAGCCCAGACUAUCACAAUGGUGUCCCUUUUGGUGGGGAUGUGAGACCUGCUGCUGCCUGGGAAGAAGCUGACAGGAUUGUUGGUGCUGUGGGGAGAAGCUGGUGUAACUGAGACCCAUGAGGGAGGCCCUUUGUGGGUCUGUGGCUGGGAGGAACUCUGGGGAAGAUGGGCCUUGAGAAAUCCCAGCUUAGCACCUUUGACAGUUGCUCCACUGAGUCACCCUAGACUGCAAUCUCACAGAUGUUCUAACCACCCUCUCCCUGGGGAGCCCUUGGGGGUGCUGCAAGCCCAGUCCUCACUCACUGGCCUUGUGCUUCUCUUCCCGACUUCCUUUUUUUGCUCCUGUUGAGAAAUGUGGGUCCAGGGCUGCGUGCUCCAGUGUGCGGAAGGAAGGGCAGCGUGCUCUUUGGAGUGAGCUGGCUCAAGGGAAGCUGGGUCUGAGGGGAGACUGACCUCGACCCUUCUUAAAUGAAACACCUUUUCCCUGUGUCUCAGUCACCGUUACCUGGCCUGAUCACUGUGUGCCACUCCCCAUCACAUCCAUCCCCACAAGAAUGCCAGGAGAAGGGGUCAUUGGCCUUUUUGUCAGCACAAACCUCUGGAGGCCCAGCUCCCAAGACCCGCCAGGCAUACCUGCCAGAGUGCCUUAACUUGGGAUGUCUGCAAACCUCUGUCCAUGGCCGAACCCGCCCCACUGCCUGUUACUGUAAAUAAAGGUCUAUUAGCAUGCCGCCAUGCCCCUCCUCCGAUGUACAGUGCCCAGCUCAGCACCUGGUGCAAAGUAAGCACAACCUGGCUUCCAGCCAUCACUGCUGUUGCUACUAUCACAAAUAUUAGGCCCCUUCUGGAAUGCAAAGAUAACCCAGGGCUGCUCGUUCUGUGUCCAGAUCACAGAGUUUUUCUUUUUAUCCUUAUCAACUUUAUUGAGGGAUAAUUUACAGGCAAUAAAUUAUAUCCAUUUAAA
rnacentral:lncRNA from 1 species